AGAGUUUGAUUAUGGCUCAGGACGAACGCUGGCGGCGUGCUUAACACAUGCAAGUCGAGCGAGGAUAAAGUUUAACACUGAGUAUUUAAGCGAAGGCAUUAAUUAGCCAGAGCAUAUGCACAACCAACCCUAAGGUUUAAAAUCGCGGGUUGUGCAUUACGCGUUAAACAGUGCUAACAGAAAAAAGUUUGAGUACUGAGUGUUAAACUUUAUCCUAGCGGCGGAUGGGUGAGUAACGCGUGAGCAACCUGCCCUACACAGGGGGAUAACAACUGGAAACAGUUGCUAAUACCCCAUGAUAUCAGACUAACGCCUGUUAGAGUGAUUAAAGGUAAUACCGGUGUAGGAUGGGCUCGCGUCCCAUUAGCUAGUUGGUAGGGUAGAGGCCUACCAAGGCAACGAUGGGUAGCCGACCUGAGAGGGUGAUCGGCCACACUGGGACUGAGACACGGCCCAGACUCCUACGGGAGGCAGCAGUGGGGAAUAUUGCGCAAUGGGGGGAACCCUGACGCAGCAACGCCGCGUGAGUGACGAAGGUUUUCGGAUCGUAAAGCUCUGCCAUUGGGGACGAAGGAAGUGACGGUACCCAAUAAGGAAGCCCCGGCUAACUACGUGCCAGCAGCCGCGGUAAUACGUAGGGGGCGAGCGUUGUCCGGAAUUACUGGGCGUAAAGGGUGCGUAGGCGGCCAAAUAAGUCAGCUGUGAAAUACCGGGGCUUAACCCCGGGGGUGCAGUUGAAACUGUAUGGCUUGAGUGCAGGAGAGGAAAGCGGAAUUCCUAGUGUAGCGGUGAAAUGCGUAGAGAUUAGGAGGAACACCUGUGGCGAAGGCGGCUUUCUGGACUGUAACUGACGCUGAGGCACGAAAGCGUGGGUAGCGAACAGGAUUAGAUACCCUGGUAGUCCACGCCGUAAACGAUGGAUACUAGGUGUAGGGGGUAUCGACCCCUUCUGUGCCGUAGUUAACGCAAUAAGUAUCCCGCCUGGGGAGUACGUGCACAAGCAUGAAACUCAAAUGAUUGACGG
rnacentral:rRNA from 1 species